GAUGAACGCUAGCUACAGGCUUAACACAUGCAAGUCGAGGGGCAGCAUGGUCUUAGCUUGCUAAGGCCGAUGGCGACCGGCGCACGGGUGAGUAACACGUAUCCAACCUGCCGUCUACUCUUGGACAGCCUUCUGAAAGGAAGAUUAGUACAAGAUGGCAUCAUGAGUCCGCAUGUUCACAUGAUUAAAGGUAUUCCGGUAGACGAUGGGGAUGCGUUCCAUUAGAUAGUAGGCGGGGUAACGGCCCACCUAGUCUUCGAUGGAUAGGGGUUCUGAGAGGAAGGUCCCCCACAUUGGAACUGAGACACGGUCCAAACUCCUACGGGAGGCAGCAGUGAGGAAUAUUGGUCAAUGGGCGAGAGCCUGAACCAGCCAAGUAGCGUGAAGGAUGACUGCCCUAUGGGUUGUAAACUUCUUUUAUAAAGGAAUAAAGUCGGGUAUGGAUACCCGUUUGCAUGUACUUUAUGAAUAAGGAUCGGCUAACUCCGUG
rnacentral:rRNA from 1 species